ensembl:lncRNA
UGUGCGUCCCUUCAGAGAGAUGUUGACAUAUUCUGAAAUGUCAACAGUCUGAUUGCUGAGAAUGGUCUUCAUUCUCAUGGUAGAUGUGGCAGAAAGGGAGGAAGGAAAUUUUGACACGUGCUACAACAUGAGUGAACCUUGAGGGCGUUAUGCCAACUGAAAUAAAUUCAUCACAAAAGGACAGAUACUAUCUGAUUCCACUUAGAUGAGAUUUCUUCAGGAUAUCAGUUGUAACAAUAUUGUACUGAGUAAGGCUCCAGCUAGAGUCCUGUGGCGAGUCAAUAGAGACCUCCAUCGAAGUUGAAAUGGAUCCAUUACCAAGACUUUUAGGCAGUGAUUGUUCAACCAGCUGCAAAUCAGUCUAAUUUACCCCACAUCUACCCUACGCCUCUACAGGCCAGUGUAAAAGAUUUUUGCCUAACGUCAUACUGAAAUUCACACGUGUUGCCUUGACCUUCCAGCGCAACCACAUUGUCAAAGAAAUGGAGGUCUGCUCACACCUCACAGUUCACAUUUUCUUUGGCCCCUCUCUGUUACCAACGCUGGACUUUUCCUGCUGGCCUGAGGCUCCUCUUACAUCAGACACCGGCCACCCCUAGAACUUGCUUCCUCAUUUUUUGCUGUAACUGACUGUACGACACAGUGUUGGCUCCCUAAACGCAUUGGACAUACACCUGAAUGGCUGCGCGUCAGUGGCGGUGCUUUGAGUCCUGUUUCAGGUAUGCGGUGAACUGCUCGCUUGCUCACUCAGUGAAGUUACUGAUCGCUCCCUCCAAAAGUCCAGUUCUGCCAAGACGUAAAACCCUUUUGUAACACAAGUAUAAUACUUUCGAAUGUAGAUUUUGUUUACCUGUACUGAAUUUUCUCAAAAUGAACCAUACCUUUAAACACGAUAAUGACAGGCUAGGGCUGCUGUAACUUGAAUCAUCAGUGAAUACAAUACCUGGCACAUGGUGUGCUCCUGCCGGGAAAUUCUUUAACCUCAACUCUUCAGACUUAGGAAAAUAAGUAGUAUUUUCUUUAAAUUGGUAGUUUAUGUGAGGAUAAACAAAAGCAGUUUCCAUCUGGUUUGACGUUGACCCGGGAUUAUUUUCAAGUCAUCCUUGUUCCUCCUUUGCAAACGAAAUCACAGUCUCCAGGAGGAUGCAGCCAGUUAGUCUCGCCCGUCGCUGUCUUCAGAGUCAGCACGGUACCUGGACUCUGUAGAACACGUGCUCAGUGAACAUUUCUUGAACAGAUAAAUGAGGAAUAAAUGAAUACAUGUGUACAAAAAGCUUACUUCAUCUAGUCAUAAAAUGAUUUCAGUUUGCCAUGGGAUCAAAUGUAGACAUGACCAAUGCCUUCUAGAAAGAAACCUUUGGGGCAAAAAUCACCAUCUGAGUUGCACAAAUAAUAGUAAUAUUUUUGAUCAACAGUUCUCAAAUGUUUUGUUCUCAGGACUCCUUUAUACUCUAAAAAAUUGUUGAGAACCCCAAAGAGUUUUUGCUUAUAUAGGACAUAUCCAUUGAUACUUGCAAUAUUAGAAAUUAAAACCAAAAUUAAAUGUUAAUUUGAAAUAAUAGCAAUACUCAUAAUAUACCAACAUAAUGUUUUGUGAAAAUGUAUUUUCCAAAAUAAAAAUAAAUUAUGAGUGACAUUAUUUAAAAUAUUUGAAAAUCUCUUGACUGUCUGGCUUAGUAGAAGAUAGCUGGAUUCUCGUCUCUGCUUCUGCCUUCAAUCUAUGGUAAUAUUACCUGUCAUGUGGCCUCUAGAAAACUCCACAGUAUACUCAAGAGAAUGGGAUUUUCAUUAAAAUAGUUGUGAUCUGUGGACCCCCUGAAAGGGCUUGGAGAACCCCAGGAGUCCCUGGACUAUAAUUUGAGAACCUCUGUUCUAAAUGUUUACACUUUUAAAAUAAUAAAGCUAUUCAAUUCAUAACAGUUUCUUCUUUGCCUAGAAUAUCAGAACCUUCAGGGCGAAGGUCAUCCAUCAGCUCAGGUGGGGAAUGACAGCCUGUCCAUCACCUGUCACGCUGCUCAGCUGCUGCCUGAUUGCUACUGGGCUUUUCCUUCCUUUUUAGUGUUAAUGGUUUUUGGCCGUACUUCUUCUGCGUUUUCAUUAGAAGAUGCUGCCAGUCCUUUCUGGAAAGAGGUUAAGUGUUUAAAAGUAUAGGAAUAUCUGUCUAUCCAUCUAUCUAUCUAUCUACACACACAUAAAAAGCAACACAUACAAGUUUGAAAGUACACUUUCAUUUCAUUUUCAGUAUCUAUCUAGCUAACGCACCUCAACAGGAUGAAAAUAUAUAAUAUAGUCACUUGAAAGGUUAAGAAAAUCCUCAGGUUGUCUGAAUGGGCCUUCUUCACAGAGCCCAGAGAAUGGGGUUCAAGUGCAGGGCCUGCUCUCUAAACAGCUACAGCUCCAUGACAGGCAAUUUAUCACUCAAGAAAUGAGGCAAAUCAUCAAGGUCUCAGAGUGUCUGAACUGUUCCUCAGAACUCCCACCCGGACCAUCCACUUUUUCUCUGUCAAUAACUAAUUUGACUGAAGCCUAUGAGAGUCGCACUUUUUCAGUGCCAGCCCACUGCAUGUCAUUUUUCUGUCUGGGAGAACUGCCCUUCAGUCAUCCAGGCGGGUGAGCGCCCCGCCUUGCCUGUCUCAGGGCACCCUGUUUGGGGCCACCCUUGACCGGAUCAGGUUGUGCACCUGACCCAGGCUGAGCCAACCGCAUUCUCUCUCGUGGGAAUGUGGCCUCGGAUUGAGCACAGCCAGCUACCCGGGACCGACCUCUUCAGUAGGGAGGGUGUAAACCCGGCAGUUGUGAGGGAUCCUCUUCCACUCAGCUGCCCAGAGAGAAGAAGGAAGGAGAGUUGAUUGCAGAGAGACGUGGAGCAGAGGCGAAGGCUGGAGAAGGCCUGCUUCCUGGCUUCCUCGUAGCCAUCUGUCCUUGGGCUUCAUGAGAUACUGCCUCACCACAUAUUUCCCUUAAUAAUUAAGCCAGCUCAAGUUGAUUCCUUGCAACCAAAAGCUCUCAACUAAAGCAAAGGCAAAGCCAGAAGCAUUGGUGAGUUUUUCGCUACAGCCGGGUCCUGUAAAAGAUCCUGGAGAGGAUUGAUUGUAGGUCCUAAAUACGCAUCAUCGACUCACUGAAGGCUUCCAUCCGGCCAAAACACGUUUCCAUCCAAGGCCAACUAGAUUAGGAAAUGGCGUUUCCUCCUGCUUUCCAUCCCUGGAGGGCAAAUGUACAGAUGACUGGAGUUAGCAAUUGACUCUGUGGGUUAGUAUUUGCUGAGGGCACACGCCCAGGGACUUGAAUGACAGCAAUCCCCAGGUGCCAGGGAGGAGGCUGGCAAUUACGCUUCCCAUCACUGGCCUAUUCACCACUCCUGCAAACCAGCAUUCCUCAGAGCACUGACCCUCAAUGACUGGCAGGGCGACCGACUUUUAAAAGUGCCCAUUUUUAGCAGCUGGAAAUAAUAAACAGAGGGAAGUGAAGAUGCUGGAGGACUGAUUUCUCUUCCACUGUUUUCAAAAGUCAAAAGAUGCUAUAGACUAGUGGACUGGCAAGGAUGCCACGGAAAGCUGGUGCAACUCCUGCCGCAGAGCAGCUGUGUGAUGAUGGGUUAGUCCAUACACCUCCCUGGGCCUCAGUUUUUACAGCUGCAGAAUGACGAGUUCAUCUUCUUGUGACAGAGCCGGCGGCAGCCUGUGCGUGCGGAAGGCCCACAGUCACACCCGAUCUAAACGCCCUGGAUGUGGCAAGAUCUACUGAGUUUGAAGACGGGAAAGGGAGAAAUAAGACUACGUGGCCAUCGUUUCUGGCAGCAGAAAUACUACACUUUCCUUCCCUGGGACUCUGCCAUCAUCUCCGCACCUCCUUCCCCCUG